rnacentral:rRNA from 1 species
CCUACGGGAGGCAGCAGUGAGGAAUAUUGGUCAAUGGACGAGAGUCUGAACCAGCCAAGUAGCGUGAAGGAUGACUGCCCUAUGGGUUGUAAACUUCUUUUAUAUGGGAAUAAAAUGUUCCACGUGUGGGAUUUUGUAUGUACCAUAUGAAUAAGGAUCGGCUAACUCCGUGCCAGCAGCCGCGGUAAUACGGAGGAUCCGAGCGUUAUCCGGAUUUAUUGGGUUUAAAGGGAGCGUAGGUGGAUUGUUAAGUCAGUUGUGAAAGUUUGCGGCUCAACCGUAAAAUUGCAGUUGAAACUGACAGUCUUGAGUACAGUAGAGGUGGGCGGAAUUCGUGGUGUAGCGGUGAAAUGCUUAGAUAUCACGAAGAACUCCGAUUGCGAAGGCAGUUCACUGGACUGCAACUGACACUGAGGCUCGGAAGUGUGGGUAUCAAACAGGAUUAGAUACCCUAGUAGUC